ACUGGAGUCUGACAGGAAAUGACACGCUUUCCACUGCAGUCUGACAGGAAUUGACACCCUUCCUGCUGGAGUCUGACAGGAAAUGACACCCUUCCACUGAAGUCUGACAGGAAAUGACACGCUUUCCACUGCAGUCUGACAGGAAUUGACACCCUUCCCACUGGAGUCUGACAGGAAAUGACACCCUUGGUAGUGGAGUCUGACAGGAAUUGACACCCUUCCCACUGGAGUCUGACAGGAAAUGACACCCUUCCACUGCACUCUGACAGGAAUUGACACCCUUCCCACUGGAGUCUGACAGGAAAUGACACGCUUUCCACUGCAGUCUGACAGGAAUUGACACCCUUCCCACUGGAGUCUGACAGGAAAUGACACCAUUUCCACUGGAGUCUGAGAGAAAAUGACACCCUUCCCAGUGAAGACUGACAGGAACUGACACCCUUCCCACUGAAGUCUGACAGGAAAUGACACCAUUCCUGCUGAAGUCUGACAGGAAAUGAUACCCUUCCCGCUGGAGUCUGAGAGAAAAUGACACCCUUCCCACUGGAGUCUGACAGGAAUUGACACCCUUCCCGCUGAAGUCUGACAGGAAAUGACACCAUUCCUGCUGAAGUCUGACAGGAAAUGAUACCCUUCCCGCUGGAGUCUGAGAGAAAAUGACACCCUUCCCACUGGAGUCUGAGAGAAAAUGACACCCUUCCCACUGGAGUCUGACAGGAAUUGACACCCUUCCCACUGAAGUCUGACAGGAAAUGAUACCCUUCCCGCUGUAGUCUGACAAAAAUGACACCCUUCCUGCUGGAGUCUGACAGGAAAUGACACCCUUCCUGCUGGAGUCUGACAGGAAAUGACACCCUUCUUGCUGGAGUCUGACAGGAAAUGACCCCUUUCCCAGUGGAGUCUGACAGGAAGUGACACCUUUCUCACUGGAGUCUCACAGGAAAUGACACCCUUCCCAGGGGAGUCUGACAGGAAGUGACACCUUUCUCACUGGAGUCUGACAGGAAAUGACACCCUUCCUGCUGGAGUCUGACAGGAAAUGACACCCUUCCUGCUGGAGUCUGACAGGAAAUGACACUCUUCCUGCUGGAGUCUGACAGGAAAUGACCCCUUUCCCAGUGGAGUCUGACAGGAAGUGACACCUUUCUCACUGGAGUCUGACAGGAAAUGACACCCUUCCCAGGGGAGUCUGACAGGAAGUGACACCUUUCUCACUGGAUUCUGACUGGAAAUGACACCCUUCCCAGUGAAGACUGACAGGAAUGACACCCUUCCCACUGGAGUCUGACAGGAAUUGACACCCUUCCCAAUGGAGUCUGACAGGAAGUGACACCUUUCUCACUGGAGUCUGACAGGAAAUGACACCCUUCCCAGUGAAGACUGACAGGAAUUGACACCCUUCCCACUGAAGCCUGACAGGAAGUGACACCAUUCCUGCUGGAGUCUGACAAGAAAUGACACCCUUCCCACUGGAGUCUGACAGGAAUUGACACCUUCCCGCUGAAGUCUGACAGGAAAUGAUACCCUUCCCGCUGUAGUCUGACAGGAAAUGACACCCUUCCUGCUGGAGUCUGACAGGAAAUGACACCCUUCCUGCUGGAGUCUGACAGGAAAUGACACCGUUCCCAGUGGAGUCUGACAGGAAAUGACAUUCUUCACACUACAGUCUGACAGGAAAUGGCACCCUUCCCACUGGAGUCUGACAGGAAGUGACACCUUUCUCACUGGAGUCUGACAGGAAAUGACACCCUUCCCACUGUAAUCUGACAGGAAAUGAUACCUUUCUUGCUGGAGUCUGACAGGAAAUGACACUCUUCCUGCUGGAGUCUGACAGGAAUUGACACCCUUCCCAAUGGAGUCUGACAGGAAGUGACACCUUUGUCACUGGAGUCUGACAGGAAAUGACACCCUUCCCAGUGAAGACUGACAGGAAUUGACACCCUUCCCACUGAAGCCUGACAGUAAGUGACACCAUUCCUGCUGGAGUCUGACAAGAAAUGACAGCCUUCCUAGUGGAGUCUGACAGGAAUUAACACCUUUCCUGCUGGAGUCUGACAGGAAAUGACACCCUUCCCAGUGGAAUCUGACAGGAAUUAACACCUUUCCUGCUGGAGUCUGACAGGAAAUGACACCCUUCCCAGUGGAAUCUGACAGGAAAUGACAUCCUUUGCACUACAGCCUGACAGGAAAUGACACCCUUCCCAGUGGAGUCUGACGGGAAAUGACACCCUUCCCACUGGAGUCUGACAGGAAAUGACAUCCUUCGCACUACAGUCUGACAGGAAAUGACACCAUUCCCACUGGAGUCUGACAGGAAAUGACACCCUUCCCACUGGAGUCUGAUAGGAAUUGACAUCCUUCCCACUGGUGUCUGACAAGAAAUGGCACCCUUCCCAGUGGAGUCUGACAGGUAAUGACACCGUUCCCACUGUAGUCUGACAGGAAUUAACACCCUUCCCAGUGGAGUCUGACAGGAAUUGACACCCUUCCCACUGAAGUCUGACAGGAAAUGACAUCCUUCUCACUGGAGUCUGACAGGAAAUGGCACCCUUCCCGAUGGAGUCUGACAGGUAAUCUCAUUGGAGUCUGACAGGAAAUGACACCCUUCCCGAUGGAGUCUGACAGGUAAUCUCACUGGAGUCUGACAGGAAAUGACACCCUUCCCAGUCUGAUAGGAAAUGGAGUCUAAGAAGGUGACACUGAAGGGAGCAGGAGCAAGAAAACGUUCCAGAUGGGAUGGAAGUGCCAAGGCCUGACGAAUACUGGAGAGGGAAGUGCCUGCUGGAGAGCUAGAAGGCCAGCUGGGAUGGGGAAGCUGAGGAUAAACCAGCCCAGAGUGUGGUAGCUCCAAAAGCAUGAAAGAAGGCUGACUUCUGCCCCAGAUACCCGGGGACCACUGAAGGGCAGAGUGGGAUGACCUCACAAAGGGUCAGUUGGGGUGUCCAGGAGGCCGGAGCAGAGCCGAGACUGGUCAGGUUGCUGACAGCCGCUGGGAGGCUGGUGCUAACCACUGAGCUGCAGGAGGCGGAUGUGGAGGCAGGUGGGAGAUGUCACCGGAGACACUCCCCUUCCUAGUGACACCACACACCAGCGGGGCCGUUCCUGAGGGGCAGUGGAGGAGGAGCCUUGGGAACUGCUCGGGACACCAGUGUGCUGCUGCUGGCCCCACCUCACUGUCCCUGCUGGAGUCCCCAGGGGGGCCCGAUGCCUGGAGCAGCCAGCGUCUGCCCUGCCUUAGAAGGGACCUCAGCACCAGCGGGUGAGCAGCGCCUGUGUUCCCGAGAGGCCAUCCCGCCCAGGCUCAGCCCAGCCAGCACCGUGACCAUCCGACAUGGAGACUGCAACCCCGCACUGCCAGGCUGCGCCAUGGCUGCCCUAAGAGGCCAUCUGCCUGCCCUACUGGACGGCAGAGAUGCAAGUGCUUGGUCGCUCUGGACCCGGCCACGUCGGUGUCCCACAAGCGGCCCCUGGCUGGAUGCUGAGAAGAAGGGGCUGAAAUAACCCAGGGAGGCCUGAGCCACGCGUGACCCUGGAGAGGAAGAGCAGGCCGACUGCACUAACCCUCUGCUCAGAGCGCUCUGCGUGCAGCUCAGGCCGCAGCCUGUUGGGGUGGACCCCGCUCACCACCUGCCCAGGGCUGCGGGCCUGGCCACUCUUCGUGCCCCACAUCUGUGAUGCGGGGAGGGGUCAGCGAGAGCCAGGUCUCGAGAGGCCGUUGUGAGGCUUCAGAGAACCACGUAAAGUAAAAGCCACUUCGCUCUG